AACGUUGAAGCCACAUGCUCUAACAAAGACUUCUUUGACUCCAUGGGCUCUCAUUUUAUGUAGUUGAAGAAACAGACUCAUGUUUAAGCAUUUUCCUUCAUUUCUUUUAUUCCACUGUCUGGGAAAGUUUUAUCCACUCCUAAGUUAGCCAAUCCUACAACUCAGUCAAGGCUCAAGGAUCAAAAAUGUGAAGAAAGGAGGUUUCAUGACUUCUGAAAUGAAAGAAAUGUGAAUUUUGAAAGGAAAAUGAAGGUUAAAAAUCAUUCCACGGAUACUUUUCCAGAAAUUCCAGUGGAAGCAUUUUCUGAAUUCUACUUACGGGUGUAUGUGAUGUUUGCUGACAGAAUUCAUGGGUCAGAAUAAUAACCUCCAAGUUGAUGCAUCGGGACGUGGCACUCUGGAGAGGUAUUUAGGCUCACCAGGAUGCUGUCAUGAGUGAGAUGAGUGCCCUUAUAAGAAGAGUCGGGAGGAAGCUUCUGUCUUCUCUCUGCUGUUCAGCCCAUGAGGAUACAGGGAGAUCAUCAUGUGUAAGCCAAGAAGUGAGCCUUCGCCAAGAUACCAAUGAUGCCAGCAGCCUGACCCUGCAACUCCCAG